AGGCCAUGAUGGGGGCAUUGUCUCUGUAUACUCUUGAACCGGUCCCAGGCUUCAAAUAGGGAUUCUGAAUCUAUCUUCUUGAAACUGGCAAUCAAGUUCCUCAUGU